CACGUAGGGGGCGAGCGUUGUCCGGAUUUAUUGGGCGUAAAGAGCUCGUAGGCAGCUUGGUAAGUCGGGUGUGAAAUUUCGAGGCUCAACCUCGAACUGCCAUCCGAUACUGCUAUGGCUAGAGUCCGGUAGAGGAGCGUGGAAUUCCUGGUGUAGCGGUGAAAUGCGCAGAUAUCAGGAGGAACACCAACGGCGAAGGCAGCGCUCUGGGCCGGUACUGACGCUGAGGAGCGAAAGCGUGGGGAGCAAACAGG
rnacentral:rRNA from 1 species